GGGGAAGGGCUGUAGCUCAGUGCUAGAGCACCUGCUUUGUAUGCAGAAGGUCCUGAGUUCAGUUCCUGCCUUCUCCA